UUCUCUUCUACUCUGUUCUUGUCAUCUUUUCCUUCUCCUCACUGUUCUUUUCAUCUUCUCAAUUUGUCACUGGCUAUCAUGCGAGUGGUGAGGUAGGCAGAGCCGAAGGCGGGGCUAAGGAGCUUCCAUAAAAGCGUCUUCUGUCUCUCAUGUGAUUCGAGAGGUUCAAGUUGAGCUUGUGUGACUGUUGAAGAUUAAGUCGCAUCUCGUUGACAUUUACCGCGUUGACGUCAACCAAAAUGUUCACACGGUGUGUCACCCUGUUUCCACUCUUCACUCUUGUCACACUUUGUCUGGCUGUUCCAAUACCUGACAGAAGUGCAGCUCUGCUUGCUCACCUUGACGGAAAACCAGCAACACUAGCGGCGACAUCCAGACCAGCUCACACUAUGUCAGGCAAGACAUCACAUUCCGCAGAUGUCGAUAACUCCAAAGAACAAUCAGAAGCACUACCAAACAAUGAGGACACCAACCAAAUGAAAGACGGAGCAGGUGUAUACGACGCUCCAGAUUCAGAUGGAGGAGCAGAAGGCCCUGACAAGUCAUUUAUAGAAAGUGACGAUCCAGAACCACCACAAUCCUCAGACUCUAUAAAAUCACCAGAAUCUGUAGACUCGGCAAAUUCUGCUGCGUUAUUACAAUUUGCGGAAUCAUCGGAGUCUGCAGGAACAUCAGAGUCUGGCGAAUCAUCAAAGUCUGUGGAUACUUCAGAGCUCGCUGAGUCAACAAAGUCUGCAGAAUCAGCAGAAUCAUCAAUGUCUGGAGAAUCAGCAGAGUCUCUGGCAUCAGCCCAGUCUUCUGAUUCAGCAGAGUCCUUGGAAUCACAUGAGACCCCAGAAUCACCUGAGUCUCAAGAUUCUCUGGAAUUGCCAAAAUCUCUACAAUCGACCGAGUCAGAAUCAGAGUCAAGUUCAGAGGCAAACAAGGACAGCUACAAGGCCAACAGUGAUUCUGAGUCUGAUGCAAUCACAGAUGGCAUCGACAAUGAGGACGAUGGUGCUUACCCAUUGGACGCAUUUGACUUAGAAGAGGGUGGUGAAGUGGAUCCUGAGGUCUUAGAUGUGGAAGAGGCUCAGGAAAGAAGUGAGAUCCCAGAAAUUGACUUGUAUGACGUAUCAGACGUGAUGGGAGGGGAGGGGAUAAGAGAAGAAAAUUCUUCUAAGGAUGAUAUAUUGUCCGACGUAAGUAUCAGCGUGGAGGAUGCUGACCUUGACAAAAAUGCCAUCAAAGAGGAUGUAAACAUUGAUGAGCAGAAUGUUCAAGAACCAGAAGAAAGCUCCCAAAUCUCUGACUCCACUGAAGCAACUCUUAUCAAAAAUUAGAUUCUACACCCUCCCACCCCAAGGAGUGAAUUAGCCCUUCGAGCUCCAAAUAAGAGGAAGGAAGCAAAAGCGUUUGACCGCUUGGAAAACAUUUGCCAUGACAACUUCCCAUCUGGAUCGCUCGCUUGUGCCUGAGUCUUUGUCGAGUGCUCGUUUGUUCAUCCAUUACUCUGUCGGCUGAAUGAACGUGCUCGUGCCUAUUGGGUUAGCUGUUGUAGUGA